UUCUCUCUCUAGUCGUCGGACCCUCCUCAUUCUCUCUAAAAAAAAAUCUCACUUUUCUUCUCUCUUUUCUCUCUCAUUAACUCUUUUUUCACCGACCACCGCCAGAGACCGGCAACACCCCAAUCGACGGCUGUUACUCCCCAACGGUCGGCUCUCCCCAACCGACGGCGUCACUCCCCCAACGAUUGGCUCUCCCCAAUCGGCGGUUGCUGCUCCCCAACGGUCGGCUCUCUAAUCGACGGCGUUGCUCAAAUCGACUUUCCCCAACCGACGGCGUCUCUCCCCUAACGAUCGGCUCCCUCCAACCAACGGCUACUGCUCCCCAACGGUCGGCUCUCCCCAACCGGUGGUUACUGCUCCCCAACGGUCGGCUCUCCAACCGGCGACGUCGCUCAAAUAGGCUUUCCUCAACCGACGACAACCCAAAACUUCCUGAUCUCUCCCAAACGGAAGCCCAAAAACCCUUAAAAAUCUCUCUUCCAACCGACAGCAAGAGCCCCAACUCUCACUGCACACACAUUUUUUGGGUAUUGUUUGAUAUAUUUUUUUGAUUUUUUUGUGGAUUGUUUUUGGCUGUUAGAGAACUAGGAUUUUUUGGUUGCUACUUGUUGCUAUGGUUUUUGCAGGUUGUUUGCUUGCCGAUUGCUCAUCUUUUUGAUUGCUACAGUGGGGCUUUAUACACUCGACUUUUUGGUCGAGUGUAGUGCCUCCACCACCCUGCCAGUCGUACCCCUCUCCCCUUUUUUUUCUUUUUUUUUAUUUUACUUGUUGUUCAUUUUUUCAUUUAUUUUUAAUUAAUAAAAUUUAUUAUGAUUUUCCUUUUUUAUAGUGUCUACACAUAGUUAAUCUCAAUUAUUCUCACCUUUUGAUUGCGCAUUAUAUUCCUUGUGACUCUUUAUUGCUUUCUUUUUUUUCCAGUUCAAUUCAUUAAUUUUAGAUGAAUCUAACAACGGAGCAUCAACAAAUUGAUGAUAAAAACAUGAACUUCAAUGAAAUCUGUUGCCCAAAUGGCAAAAAUAAUGAAAAUAGCUUGGAAUUAGAGUUAAAUU
rnacentral:lncRNA from 1 species